UGUGUACUCAGCAAUCUGUCUGUAUGUGUAUUCAGCAGUCUGUCUGUAUGUGUAUUCAGCGGACUGUGUGUGUGUGUAUUCAGCGGACUGUGUGUGUGUGUAUUUAGCGGACUGUGUGUGUGUGUUUUCAUCGGACUGUGUGUGUGUGUGUGUGUAUUAAGCGGACUGUGUGUGUGUGUAUUUAGCGGACUGUGUGUGUGUGUAUUUAGUAGCCGGUGUGUGUAUGUAUUUAGCAGUCGGUGUGUGAAUGUGUUCAGCAGUCUGUGUGUAUGUAUUGCAUUUGUUG